rnacentral:rRNA from 1 species
UACGAAGGGGGCUAGCGUUGCUCGGAAUUACUGGGCGUAAAGCGCACGUAGGCGGAUUGUUAAGUCGGGGGUGAAAUCCCGGAGCUCAACUCCGGAACUGCCUUCGAUACUGACGAUCUUGAGUCCGGGAGAGGUGAGUGGAACUGCGAGUGUAGAGGUGAAAUUCGUAGAUAUUCGCAAGAACACCAGUGGCGAAGGCGGCUCACUGGACCAUUACUGACGCUGAGGCACGAAAGCUAGGGGAGCAAACAGG